rnacentral:tRNA from 1 species
CCGUUGGUCUUAGGAACCAAAAACUCUUGGUGCAAAUCCAAGCAGGGACU